AACCCUACCUGCAUGUACAUAAUUGUUAAUUACCUCGACACCAGUUCCCCGCACAUUGCAUCUGUAUCGGUACCCCCUGUAUAUAGCCCCGCUAUUGUUAUUCACUGCUGCUCUUAAUUAUUUGGUUUUCUUAUCUCUUACUACUUCAAUUUUAUUUUUUAGGUAUUCUCUUAACCGCAUCGUUGGUUAAGGGCUUGUAAGUAAGCAUUUCACUGUAACCUGUUGUAUUUGGCACAUGUGACAAAUACAAUUUGAUUUGAAACAAUACAUGCCAGCUCUUUUUUUCUUUUUUUGCACGCUGGAAUAUUGUGGUGAGGUUAUUGCUGUUUUAACAUGGUUAUUUCAAAUACUAAAGGUCAACUUACCAAGACUUGUGUGAGAAAUUGUGUUCAAGUUACUUUAAAAUACAAUUAUUUAAUUGAAAAAUAGUGUUUUGGGAUGUUUCUUGGCUUUAAUGAUCUCCUCUUUCUAUGAUCCAUCUGUGAGCUUCUGAGUGUCGGGGUGAACUCCUGGCUGUUAUGUAACUCAGUGUUUUUCUUCCCUGGCCUGCACAGCUGCAGCACAGAAGGGGAGAGAGGCUGAGCAGACAGAACUGGCCCUUUGGCAUUGGUCCCUCAGUCUGCAGGCCAAGGUGCUGGAGGCUAUGGGUCGCGGAGUAGCACCGAAAGCAGGAGAGGCUGGCCCAGGAUGCCCAGUUCUAUAGAGACCAGCUUCUGAGGAAAGGGGUGGCCCACGCCGCUCACAUGGGCAGCUUCUGCACCAACAUAGCACUUCACAGCCAGGAGCAGAGUUCUUCGCGGUGUCUCCAGGGGUGGUGUUGCAGUGGAAACAGACAGCAGUGAGGGUGGCCGUGCGUGCUUCCAGAUGACAACCACAACGGCCUAGAGUUCUGCUGUACUCCCCGGUCAAAGAGCUGCUACCACCUGCAGCUCCUCUACCACCUCCAACCCAGGUCCCAGUGACAGCGAGCUUCGACCCUGCUGCAGCCUCCCUCCCCAUUAGUCCCAUACUGGCACGCCCAGCGCCCCCAUCUCAGUCUCCCAACAGCUCCACAUUAUGGAUCAGUAGACCAGACUGCCCCCCUCCUCAUUCAUGACCACCUACAGUCAAACUAAGGUAGUGAGGAGUCACUACUGCACCCCCCUUAGCCUGGACCAUAGAGCUGCUCAAUAUCCACAUGGACAUGCAGCGCUUCCAACAGGGCUGCAAGCAACUUCAGUAAGGACCCACAGGUUGUAAGGCAACAAAAUAGGAAAAAUGCCAGGGGGGUGAAUACUUUCUCAAGCCACUGUAGCUAAGACUUGAAGAGGUGUUGAGCAGCUGGCUGCAGACGAGUGGAAGUGAGGGAGAGACUGCGGAGAGGAACACAAUCAGCCAAGGGCUGGAUGAGGUAAGACUUGAAGGGAAGAUGCUGCGGUCAUUGGUAUAUGUAAGGGCCACAAUGUCUUCAAGGCAGAGUAAUUAAGGAUUUAUAAACAAACAAUGGUGAUUAUGAAAAGAAAAAAAAUGGAGAGAAAAAAAAAGUAUACUGGCUAUUCACCAGUCCAUAAAGAACCAGAACCAAUCAUUGAAGUAAUACUUUUUUCAUUGGUUUCCUAUCCACUUAUAAAUGAAUAACUAAACUGAUGGCUUUGAUUUAGCAUGCAUUCCUCUGGAGGUGUCAUUUUCAUGUGAGCCAUAAAUCUUCAGCUAUGAAAACGGAGCAGUCAGAAUUUACAGCAAGUAUAUAAUAACCAUGCCAUAUUGUGCAACGAUUUUUUUUCCCAUUUUGUGGUCAUUCCAGAUUCAUUUUCCAGCUCUUUGUAUUGUUAUUGACAGAUGGAGUGUAUUGGAAGACUGUCAGCUGAGCUGGCAGAGCAGAAGCCUGUAAAUAUCUUGCAUGCUGCCAGGAUCCACAGGAUAGAGAGUGUUCUCCACAGCAGCACAGCCACGGGACUGGGACUGGGACUGGGACAGGCAGUUCUCAGCAGGCCUCCAGAGCAUGGGGCUACUGAUCAUUACUCUGUCCACCACACUAGAUGACUGACCGGACCAUGGUCGCCCCAGUGGUGUAAGAGAAUGACAUGUUGCCAUUCUCCACUGGUUGUUUUUUAUAGUAUAAAAACAUCAUUAUUCAAAAUAGAGGCAGAUGUAUGGAAAUUGUUCAAUUGAAGCUUUUGAAUUAAAACCCUGAUCUUGGUGUUAAUCGGUUGGACUGAAAAAGAAUGGCAUGGCAAGGCAGCUGUUUGAUUUAUGUUUGACUUGACUAUACUGUAAUGGCUUUUUUUUACAUGUAUAAUGUUUUGGUGUUUGUACAUUUUAAUAAAAUAUUGGCUACAUGCCUAAUUAUGUUGGUAUUUUCUGCAUUAAACUUUGCAGUGCUUAACUGUUUUUCACAAAACUAUUACCAAAAUAAAUAUAACACUCGAUGUUUAUUAUUACAUAAUCAUGCAUUCAAUGUGUUCACCGCGAUAAGCCAAACAAACUGGAGGUGUGAGAUACUGGCAACUGUUCUACAGAUCUCAAACGCGUAAAAGUGCUUGGAUGCGGGUCGUCCGCGUGACGUUACAUGGAAAUAUUUUCCAGAUGCGCGCAGAGCAGUGGCGCAGAAUCCCCUAUUUUUGGCUAUUUCGGAAGUUCUACGCUUGCACAAUAGUUUGAUUUCUUUAGGUCGUCUGUAGUAAUAAGAAAUCAUGUUGAAUUAUGAAGACGGAUUUCAGGACGAAUUGGAAGGGGUCCGCCAACCUCGCUGCGUAAAGUAAACUGCGUUUGGUUUGUUCAGCUCUUCAGUCCUUUUCAGAGUCCAAAAUGAGGGCAAUGCAUGCCAUUCUAAUAAUUUUCAUCUGCCUUCACUAUAGUUGGGGUAAGAAGAUGCGCUGGUGCACGGUGUCUGAGCAGGAGCAGAAGAAGUGUGCUGAGCUGGCCAAGGCCCUGGUGGCAGUGUUGCCUCCUGCUGCUGUGGCAGCAUUCGCAAGGCUCUCCUGUGUCCUUGCCUACAGCACUACCGACUGCAUCAACAAGAUCAGGGCUAACCGUGCUGACAUAGUAACAUUGGAUGCAGGGGAAGUCUACACUGCAGUGAAGCAGUUUGGCCUCACUGCCAUUGCCAAGGAGAUCUACAGUGACGGAGGCUGUAUUCUGUCGGUGGCGGUGGUGAGGAACCGCACCCUGGACGUGCGCUCCCUGCAGGGCCAGAGAAGCUGUCAUACUGGGGCCCGCUGGACGGCAGGCUGGAGUCUACCCUUGGGCUUCCUGCUGUCCCGCAACUACCUGACCUGGGCAGAGGAGCAGCCACUCAGUCAGGCGGUCAGUGCCUUCUUCAAUGCCAGUUGUGUUCCUGGGGCGGCUGCCAUAGCACCCGUCCUGUGUACCCUGUGUCAGGGUCAGAAGUCCUACAUCGCCCAGCGCAACUUCCACUGUGAGACGGCACAUGGCGAACCCUUCUACAACAGCCAGGGGGCGCUCAGGUGUCUCAAGACUGGGGCAGGGGAUGUUGCUUUUGUGGACCAUACAGCCCUGGAGGGUAUUGAAGAGAGUGAGAGGGAGGAUUACCAACUGCUGUGUACUGAUGGUACCCGUGCGCCACUAAGCCACUAUGGGAGCUGCAACCUGGGAAGGGGACCAGGACAGGGCAUGGUCACUCGACUCAGUGUUCGUAAGAUCGCACGCAAGUUCCUGGCGGCAGCACAGAUGGCGUUUGGCCGGCGGGGUCGAGAGAGGCAACGUUUCCAGCUUUUUAACUCUGCUCCGUUCGGCGCCGCUGAUCUGCUCUUCAAGGAUGUCACAGAGAAGCUGUCCAUUCUAGAGGAUAACAAGGACAUCAGUCAGGUGCUGGGGCUGGACUAUGUGGCUCUCCUCAAAGGCCUUGGACAUGAAGGAAGCUCAUUGGAGGACAGUGUUGUGCGUUGGUGCUGCAUUAGCCAUGCAGAACAGAAGAAAUGUGAGCAGUGGGCUCUCAGCAUUAAGUCAGACCCAUUGGUGUGUGUUAGAGCCAUCUCCAUGAGCGACUGUGUCGAGAAGAUUAAGAGAGAUGAGGUGGAUGCGGUCUCGCUGGACGCCACACAUGCAUUCAUCGCUGGGAAAUGUGGCCUUGUCCCCGUGGUAACAGAGUAUUAUGGGAAGACGUGCGUACCGGCUGAGGGAGGAGCUGAAAAAGCAGGCCAUUUAGAGACGGAUGUUUUGCCGUCCGUCGUUGGUGUUGCGGUCGUGAAGCGCUCCACCAGGGGUGUGUUCUUUGGGAACUUUGGGGGCAGGCGCUCCUGCCACGGCCACAUGUACAGCCCUGCAGGCUGGCUUCUGCCCUUUAGACACACCCUCAGCCUGGAACACAACAACACCUCUCCCUGCGAACCAAACCAAGUGUACAACGAGGUGUUCUGGAAGGGCUGUCUCCCUGGUUCUCAGGGAAACCUCUGUAAAGUGUGUAUGGGGGGCACUGGGGAGGCUGCCACCAAACGCUGUGCAGACAACCACAACGAGCGUUACUACGGCAACAUGGGGGCUUUGAGGUGCCUGGUAGGAGAUGCCAGUGGGAAGAGCUAUGGAGAUGUGGCCUUUGUUGAGCAGCACAAUCUAGAGAGCAACAUCCUCAGUCUGAGCCCCAGUGGGUGGGCGGAUGGGUGGCUAUCCUGGGACUUUGAGCUUUUGUGUGGGGAUGGCCGGCGGGAACCUUUAUCUGAAUGGGAGAACUGUAACCUAGGAGCCAUCCCACCCAACAUCAUCAUGACAAGACCUGUGCUCACUUCUCGCGUCUACGACUUCCUCAUGAAGUCACAGCCAUUCCAAAUGUUCCCAUCCCUUGAAGGAGACUCUGGCAUCCAACCCAGACACAGAAUUCCGUCUGUUUCAGUCCCAGCAGUAUGGAGAGAGUGAUCUGCUGUUUAAAGAUGCCACUCAGUGCCUCAUCCACACCAGUCACCUGGACUACCGCACCAUACUUGGAGAUGAGUUCUACAGACUAGCAGAGACUGUCUUCAACUGCACACACUCAGACAUCUUGGAAUUUUGCAACCAGGACGUGUGCAGCAUAUUUUGAGCAACAGAGAGAAGAGAAAUCACAUGUUUCACAUUGACCUAUUGUGGAGGCCCUAACCAAAAUGCCAAAAUGUAAUAUUGUUUCUUGCUUCUUGUAAUUCCUCAGUCCACACCCACCUGAAUGUUAAAUAUAUAUAUAUAGAAUUGUCAGAUACUUUUCAA